rnacentral:rRNA from 1 species
UCAGACGAUGCGUCAUGCAUAUCAAUAAGCGGAGGAAAAGAAACUAACAAGGAUUCCCUUAGUAACGGCGAGUGAAGCGGGAAGAGCUCAAAUUUGAAAUCUUCAAGGUUUUACCUUGACGAAUUGUAGUUUAAAGAAGUGUUUUCUGCUGAAGUUUUGGUAAAAGUUCUUUGGAAUAGGACAUCAUAGAGGGUGAGAAUCCCGUAUUUGACCAUUAUUUUCAGCUUUGUGAUACACUUUCAAAGAGUCGGACUGUUUGGGAAUGCAGUCCAAAAUGGGUGGUAAAUUUCAUCUAAAGCUAAAUAUUGGCGAGAGACCGAUAGCGAACAAGUACCGUGAGGGAAAGAUGAAAAGAACUUUGAAAAGAGAGUUAAAUAGUACGUGAAAUUGUCAAAAGGGAAGCGUUUAACACCAGUGUUGUUUUCUGAAAAUCAACCUCUGUUAGCUUUAUGCAUGUUUGUUUAGACCUAAUCAGCUAUCUUGCAUGUUCUAUUGUUUGCAGUGGUGCACUUUUCAGUUUACAGGUCAACAUCAGUUUUUUUUACCGUAAAAAAGUUAAAGAAAGGUAGCUCAUGGCUCCGGUCGUGAGUGUUAUAGUCUUUUUCCUAUGCGGUAGGAGAGACUGAGGUCUGCAGUGUAGGCUAUUUGGCUAGAUACUCAGGGUGCUAUGUGAUACCAUUUCAUAAACAACUUGUUGAUUAUGAUUUGUCUAUUGCAUACUCGCUUGUACUAUCAUACCUACGCUUAGGAUGUUGACUGAUAUGUAGUCGUA